UACGUAGGGUGCAAGCGUUAAUCGGAAUUACUGGGCGUAGAGCGUGCGCGGGCGGUUGUGUAAGACAGAUGUGAAAUCCCCGGGCUCAACCUGGGAACUGCAUUUGUGACUGCACAGCUGGAGUGCGGCAGAGGGGGAUGGAAUUCCGCGUGUAGCAGUGAAAUGCGUAGAUAUGCGGAGGAACACCGAUGGCGAAGGCAAUCCCCUGGGCCUGCACUGACGCUCAUGCACGAAAGCGUGGGGAGCAAACAGG
rnacentral:rRNA from 1 species